GGGGUUGUAGCAUAGUGGAUAGUGCAGUUGGCUUCGGACCAACAGGUCGUGGGUUCAAAUCCCACCAACCCCU
rnacentral:tRNA from 1 species